rnacentral:ncRNA from 1 species
AAUAUAUUAAAUAGAUAUCUUCAGGAUUAUGGUGUUGAAGCUUAUAUAGCGUUCAUUCAUAGUGGCAGUAAAAUGUUUAUUGUUUGAAUGUGUUUAUAUAAGUGGAGCCCUACCUGUUGGUUUGCCCCAUUAUAAGGAUACUAGCUUCUGAAGUGGACAAACUGCGUCUAGCAAUAAUGAGAUUGAGCAAUAACAGGUCUGUGAUGUCCUUAGAUGUCCUGAGCUGCACGCGCGCUACAAUGAAAGUAUCAACGUGUAUUUCCUAGACCGAGAGGUCCGGGUAAACCGCUGAGCCACUUUCAUGCUUGGGAUUGUGAACUGAAACUGUUCACAUGAACUUGGAAUUCCCAGUAAAUAACGUCCCUGCCCUUUGUACACAGUGCCCGUCGCUGCUACCGAUUGAAUUAUUUAGUGAGAUCUCCGGACGUGAUCACUGUGACGCCUUGUGUGUUGCGUUUGUUCCGCAAAAGUUGAUCGAACUUGAUUAUUCAUUUUUAUUCAUUUUUAUAUAUAGAAAUAAGUAAAAUUUUUUUGAAUAUAA